GGUUUGUGGCUCAGUGGUAGAGAGCUUGCCUAGCAUAUAUGAGACACUGGGUUCGAUCCCUAGCACCA
rnacentral:tRNA from 1 species